ACGCUGGCGGCAUGCUUUACACAUGCAAGUCGGACGGCAGCACAGAGAAGCUUGCUUCUUGGGUGGCGAGUGGCGAACGGGUGAGUAACAUAUCGGGACGUACCGAGUAAUGGGGGAUAACUAAUCGAAAGACUAGCUAAUACCGCAUAUUCUCUGAGGAGGAAAGCAGGGGACCUUCGGGCCUUGCGUUAUUCGAGCGGCCGAUAUCUGAUUAGCUAGUUGGUGGGGUAAAGGCCUACCAAGGCGACGAUCAGUAGCGGGUCUGAGAGGAUGAUCCGCCACACUGGGACUGAGACACGGCCCAGACUCCUACGGGAGGCAGCAGUGGGGAAUUUUGGACAAUGGGCGCAAGCCUGAUCCAGCCAUGCCGCGUGUCUGAAGAAGGCCUUCGGGUUGUAAAGGACUUUUGUCAGGGAAGAAAAGGCUGUUGCUAAUACCGACAGUUGAUGACGGUACCUGAAGAAUAAGCACCGGCUAACUACGUGCCAGCAGCCGCGGUAAUACGUAGGGUGCGAGCGUUAAUCGGAAAUACUGGGCGUAAAGCGAGCGCAGACGGUUACUUAAGCAGGAUGUGAAAUCCCCGGGCUCAACCUGGGAACUGCGUUCUGAACUGGGUGACUAGAGUGUGUCAGAGGGAGGUAGAAUUCCACGUGUAGCAGUGAAAUGCGUAGAGAUGUGGAGGAAUACCGAUGGCGAAGGCAGCCUCCUGGGAUAACACUGACGUUCAUGCUCGAAAGCGUGGGUAGCAAACAGGAUUAGAUACCCUGGUAGUCCACGCCCUAAACGAUGUCAAUUAGCUGUUGGGCAACUUGAUUGCUUAGUAGCGUAGCUAACGCGUGAAAUUGACCGCCUGGGGAGUACGGUCGCAAGAUUAAAACUCAAAGGAAUUGACGGGGACCCGCACAAGC
rnacentral:rRNA from 1 species